CCUACGGGAGGCAGCAGUGGGGAAUAUUGGACAAUGGGCGCAAGCCUGAUCCAGCAAUGCCGCGUGAGUGAUGAAGGCCUUAGGGUCGUAAAGCUCUUUUACCAGGGAUGAUAAUGACAGUACCUGGAGAAUAAGCUCCGGCUAACUCCGUGCCAGCAGCCGCGGUAAUACGGAGGGAGCUAGCGUUGUUCGGAAUUACUGGGCGUAAAGCGUACGUAGGCGGUUAUUCAAGUCAGAGGUGAAAGCCCGGGGCUCAACCCCGGAACGGCCUUUGAAACUAGGUAGCUAGAAUCUUGGAGAGGUCAGUGGAAUUCCGAGUGUAGAGGUGAAAUUCGUAGAUAUUCGGAAGAACACCAGUGGCGAAGGCGACUGACUGGACAAGUAUUGACGCUGAGGUACGAAAGCGUGGGGAGCAAACAGGAUUAGAUACCCUGGUAGUCCACGCCGUAAACGAUGAUAACUAGCUGUUCGGGCACUUGGUGCUUGAGUGGCGCAGCUAACGCAUUAAGUUAUCCGCCUGGGGAGUACGGUCGCAAGAUUAAAACUCAAAAUGAAAUUGACGG
rnacentral:rRNA from 1 species